GUAAAUAUAAUCUAAAGGCUAAGAUAAUGAAUUGUGAUUUCAUUAAUACGAGUUCAAUUCUCGUUAUUUACC
rnacentral:tRNA from 1 species